rnacentral:rRNA from 1 species
GCAUCGAUGAAGAANNCANCGAAAUGCGAUAAGUAAUGUGAAUUGCAGAAUUCAGUGAAUCAUCGAAUCUUUGAACGCACAUUGCGCCCAUUAGUAUUCUAGUGGGCAUGCCUGUUCGAGCGUCAUU